rnacentral:rRNA from 1 species
ACAUAGGGGGCAAGCGUUGUCCGGAAUCACUGGGCGUAAAGGGCGCGUAGGUGGUGUGUUAAGUCAGAUGUGAAAUGUAAGGGCUCAACCCUUAACGUGCAUCUGAUACUGGCAGACUUGAGUGCGGAAGAGGCAAGUGGAAUUCCUAGUGUAGCGGUGAAAUGCGUAGAUAUUAGGAGGAACACCAGUGGCGAAGGCGACUUGCUGGGCCGUAACUGACGCUGAGGCGCGAAAGCGUGGGGAGCAAACAG